CACAGCAGCCAUCAUUUGGAAUUUAGGAUUUACUUCAAAAAAGUGGCAUUUUAUAGACUUGACCACACAUCACGAUGUGAUUAGUGGACACAUCUCCCUAUUCUCUCUUCUCCUAUGACUUGGAGAGGUCAGAAACUCCACUUCUGACUAUCUGCAGCAAGAGUAUAUAGGCCUGAAUUCAAAACGUCUAAGUGUUACUUUUGGCAUUGUGAUUCUGAGAGAGGAAUCCCUUAUUCCAUAUUCUUCAAGGACAUCAUUCCUGCUCUUCUUAAGACUUAAAACCAUUCCUAUUUCUAUUAGUACAACCUAACUUGCAGAAGAGGCAAAGAGAAAAGCUCAGCAAGUGUUUAUGCUUCAACGCUUGGUGGCAGCAGUGGGUUUCCAGCCAACACACUCACAUUUCUCCAUUGGCCUGAAGUUACCAUGACAGAGAAUUAAUUGUGGGCACUAGUUUUAGAAAGAAAGAAGACAGCAA